GGCGAACGCUGGCGGCGUGCCUAAUACAUGCAAGUUGAGCGCUGAAGACUGGUACUUGUACCGGUUGGAUGAGCAGCGAACGGGUGAGUAACGCGUGGGUAACCUGCCCUAUAGAGGGGGAUAACUAGAGGAAACUUUAGCUAAUACCGCAUAAAAUCUAAUAACACAUGUUAUAAGAUUGAAAGUGCCAAAUGGUACACUAUAGGAUGGACCCGCGUUGUAUUAGCUAGUUGGUGAGGUAAUAGCUCACCAAGGCGAUGAUACAUAGCCGACCUGAGAGGGUGAUCGGCCACACUGGGACUGAGACACGGCCCAGACUCCUACGGGAGGCAGCAGUAGGGAAUCUUCGGCAAUGGACGAAGGUCUGACCGAGCAACGCCGCGUGAGUGAAGAAGGUUUUCGGAUCGUAAAACUCUGUUGUAAGAGAAGAACACCAGUAAGAGUGGAAAGCUUACUGGCUGACGGUAUCUUACCAGAAAGCCACGGCUAACUACGUGCCAGCCGCCGCUGUAAUAC
rnacentral:rRNA from 1 species